rnacentral:rRNA from 1 species
AAGGAUCAUUACCUAGAGUUUGUGGGCUUUGCCUGCUAUCUCUUACCCAUGUCUUUUGAGUACUUACGUUUCCUCGGCGGGUCCGCCCGCCGAUUGGACAAAAUUAAACCCUUUGCAGUUGCAAUCAGCGUCUGAAAAACAUAAUAGUUACAACUUUCAACAACGGAUCUCUUGGUUCUGGCAUCGAUGAAGAACGCAGCGAAAUGCGAUAAGUAGUGUGAAUUGCAGAAUUCAGUGAAUCAUCGAAUCUUUGAACGCACAUUGCGCCCCUUGGUAUUCCAUGGGGCAUGCCUGUUCGAGCGUCAUUUGUACCUUCAAGCUCUGCUUGGUGUUGGGUGUUUGUCUCGCCUUUGCGUGUAGACUCGCCUCAAAACAAUUGGCAGCCGGCGUAUUGAUUUCGGAGCGCAGUACAUCUCGCGCUUUGCACUCAUAACGACGACGUCCAAAAAGUACAUUUUUACACUCUUGACCUCGGAUCAGGUAGGGAUACCCGCUGAACUUAA